GAUGAACGCUGGCGGCGUGCCUAAUACAUGCAAGUCGAGCGAAUGGAUUAAGAGCUUGCUCUUAUGAAGUUAGCGGCGGACGGGUGAGUAACACGUGGGUAACCUGCCCAUAAGACUGGGAUAACUCCGGGAAACCGGGGCUAAUACCGGAUAAUAUUUUGAACUGCAUGGUUCAAAAUUGAAAGGCGGCUUCGGCUGUCACUUAUGGAUGGACCCGCGUCGCAUUAGCUAGUUGGUGAGGUAACGGCUCACCAAGGCAACGAUGCGUAGCCGACGUGAGAGGGUGAGCGGACACACUGGGACUGAGACACGGCCCAGACUCCUACGGGAGGCAGCAGUAGGGAAUCUUCCGCAAUGGACGAAAGUCUGACGGAGCAACGCCGCGUGAGUGAUGAAGGCUUUCGGGUCGUAAAACUCUGUUGUUAGGGAAGAACAAGUGCUAGUUGAAUAAGCUGGCACCUUGACGGUACCUAACCAGAAAGCCACGGCUAACUACGUGCCAGCAGCCGCCGUAA
rnacentral:rRNA from 1 species